CGCCUCUCAGGGUUGCAUCUGGAGAGUUUCUAGUACUCUACCAGUCUCGACUAUGGGAGGGAGCAUCAAGCAGAGACUUACCCAUUCCAUUCCUAACUUGGGCAGCGGCUAGCGAAUGGAAGACAAUCUUCUACAAGU